AAGUCGUAACAAGGUUUCCGUAGGUGAACCUGCGGAAGGAUCAUUAAAGAGAAGCGGUUUCGGCCGUGGGGGCUUCGGCUCCCGACUCACACCCUUUGUUUACAUAUACCUUUGUUGCUUUGGCGGGCCUUGGGGUCGUACCCAUGCUACUCAAGGGGUGCUCUGGCAACGGAGCCCCUGUAGCGUGUGCCCGUCAGAGGCCCCAUCAAUUCUGUUUAUCCGUGUCGUCCGAGUAAAAACUAAAUAAUCAAAACUUUCAACAACGGAUCUCUUGGUUCUG
rnacentral:misc_RNA from 1 species